GGGAGUUGGAGUUUGUUGGCUGGGCUGUGAGGAAGAAGGAGUCAGUGCUGUGAGGAGAUGCCCAUGAGAAGUCACCAAAAGGUUGAGUUUAAAAGCCGUACCACAAACUGAACACCUUCCCAGGAUUUCUGCCUGGAGGUGGCACCUGACCCCAGGGUGGUCAGCCCUGCCCACAGCACAUGCCUUGGACCUGCUGGGAUGAUGCAGCGGGAGGGAGGAGAGCUGAAGCCCUUGGAACAUAUGAAAUUCCCACUGAAAAUUCAGUUGUUUGAGCGUGCAUUUCACUUGAUCUCACAUCAGGCAUCCUCUUGUUUUUUUUUUUUUUUUUUUGAGGAAAAGGCAUGUAAUAAUUUCUGAUUUAUUUCCCCUAUGAGUAAAAUUUCAAUGUCAAAAUGCCAAAGUUUGUAGAGCACUCAGGGGCCUGUGAGGCAAACAGACCCUGAAGCACCAGUGGGAUGCAGCAGAGCUGUCCCUCAGUGCUCAUCCCAGUGCCCCUGGCUCUUCACUCCAGAGGGACCUGUGAGUGUGCAGAUGUGUCAGGAUGCCCAGUACUCCCGAGGCAGGUGGAGAUUGCUCUCCCUAGGCUGCUUCCAUGGAGCUGCCAGGAUGGUCUGGGAGUGCCACUGAUCCCUCUGUAGCAGUGACACAGUAAAAAUCCCAGUGUCACGUAUGUCAGUAGGAGAACACACAGAAAUAUAUCUGUAAGAUUGUGCUGGAGAGGGAAGUGUCAAGCAGUUCAGUUCAUGUUCUGGAAAUAGAGUGACUGGGAAAAAGGAGAGGGUAUUGGGAGAAAACCAUGUAUCCUUGGAGAGCUUUUUGUAAGAAGGUAGAAUCCAGGAAAAUGAGCCAGAACAGGGACAAGCUGUGUUUUUACAGGCCUGUAAACUUUGGAUGACACCUCUGGUUUAAUCUUAAAUAGUGUUUUGCUUUCCAUUUUGUCUCUGUACUCCAAAACCCAGUUCUGUUUGUUUAUUCUGCAGGUUAGGUAUCUUUUCCUGACUGUUUCAUGUCUCUGCUUCUGUCCCACAAUAUGCUGAACAUCUGUAGGAUUCUGAUGAUAUUACAUUUUUACUGAUUUGAAAAUGAAUUGAGAAUUAAAGAUGUCACUUCUCCAUCCUUUAGCAAAUGUUGCUUGAGAUGCCAGUGUGGGUUUUUUUGCCACCCAAGUGAUCAUUAAACAGUGAGUUUAUCUCUUUCUGAAACCCAGAUGAUUGUGUAUGAUUUACUCAUUUAUGUUUUAAAAAGUGCUUCAGCCUUUUUGUUUACAGGCCUUUGAAAAAGCAGUGAAACACACUGUGAUGUCUGUAUCAGAUUCUUUUCUAAUUAAGAGUAGCAGAAGAAACAAAUGAAAAAAGAAAAUUAUCUAACUGAAAGUCAGCAAAUAAAGAACUUGAAGUGUGACAUGAGA